UGAAGUAACAGCGUGUCUGUGUUUUUCCUUUAUUAUCCCCCUUUACAGAUAAGAUAAGUGAAUAUAAUACACCUGGUGAAGCAUAUAUGUUUUCUGUGUGUUUUGAGAGACGUAGAAAGUAAACUGCUGGUGUCUUCAGGAACUUUGAGAGCAGAUAAGUUUAAUUGUGUGUGAAUGUGACACUCAUUCUUGUUUUCAUGCAAACGGAGACACAUUUGUGAUGUUACCGGGCGAUAUGCAUUUAAAGAGUAUAAAUUUGGUAGAAAACGUGUUUCAAGUUGCGAUAUUUGUACUUUCUGUGUGAAGUAAUGAUGUUAAUCGUUUUCAUUUUAUCUUAGUUUGAUUGUGACAGAUAUUCAUGAAUGAUACUAAGUUAUUUUCAUUUAAACCUGAACUGAAGCAGAUGUAAAAUGUCAGACGUACUUAACACUGCAACUACAUAAUUUGUAAACUUUGAUUUAAGCCAUCACAAAGAUAUGCUGUGUUGUCAGUACAAUAUUAUUUUCUAAAACUGUUAAUUGCGUGAUUCUGAUUGUUCCUGUAACAGAAAUUGUGUUUCAUUUUGAAGAUUUCAUUACAACACUGGAUGUGACUGAAGUAACAGCAUGUCUGUGUUUUUCCUUUAUUAUCUCCCUUUACAGGGGUGUAACAUCCUUAAUGUUCAGUCCCAAUAUGCACGUACUAGUGCUGCACAGGUACUUGCGCCAUUACCACUGAAAGAUUGAGGGAUCAUUGCUCAGGUAUUUUGGUGGUGCCCUUGGACAGUCGUCAAAGGAGGCUGACACAAGAGAUGAUGUCACUGCAGCUGAAGGCGACUCGACUGCUGCUUCAGUAGAGACUAGUCUGCAGCAGCAUACAACAACAGAUGAUGUUGCUGUUUUCUUGUAUUGUCCAGGAUGUGGUGCCAGCAUGUCUGUGGCCCUUGAUGAGCAGACGACUACUGCAGUCCCAGAGAUAUCAGAGAGUCACCGUGGUGCGUCCGAAGUGAGCCACAUGCAGGCAGCGUUUUGUGUGUGUGUCUCCAGACCGACCUGUGAGCCACUCGUGGCCCGUUACCGGAGCGGUGGGCCUACGGUGGUGGGAACUGGUGUCGCCGGGUGGUGUGAACCCCCUUCCUGUGUGGCGUGCUGCUCAUCCCCUGGUUUUGUUUUGAGUUCUUCAUUAAGGUGUGUGUGUGUGUGUGUGUGUGUGUGUGUGUGUGUGUGUGUGUGUGUGUGUGUGUGUGUGUGUAUGUUCACGUGUGAGUGGGUGAUUUUUCCUGGGCUCCUUUGUGAUGCCCGUCGACCCAAACCCCUGCCAUAGUGCCCCCAGCUCCGAUUAGUCCCUAGAAAUCAUCAUUUAGCAGCUUGGUGUGAAUGGUUGUUUUUUUUUAAACUGUUUUUUUAACAAGAGUGUUUUGAUAUUGUUAAAUAAAAUUUAUAUUGUUUCCUUCA